AAGAGGAAGAAGGGCCUGGCUGCUUAGGAGCUGAGACAAGAUAUUUGAUGUUUUCCCCAAGGAAGCACUGCAUGCAGCCAAAUGGAUCAGCCAGCAGGAAGCGGGACCAUUGCUUUUGGAGUUCUGCUUUCACCUGUUGGAAGAAGAAAACAACCUGACACGAGCUCCUGUGUUCCAACUGGAUUACAUCUUCCCUCUGAUUGAAUCAUCAUGCUGCAUCAUGAGAACUCCAUGACUACAGCGCACCAUAGCGGAUGUAGUCCAACCAGGGAGCCCAGCCCACAGAAUGGGAGAAUGAGACACUCGUGGUAGCUCAGGCAGACACAAUUCAAUAUUGAAAUGAGCCAACAUGAAAUGUUUCAAUCUAGGGAUGUCAAAAUGUUUAGUUUAGAAUAAAAUGUUCCAGCAUUUCUGAAUCAAACAUUUCUGGAACUCUCAAUUCUGUGAAAAAUUUGACAUUUUGACUUGUCAUCUCUAUGGGACUAAACAAUUUCAAAAUAUUGGAAUUUCCUGCAGGAUGGAAAUCCUGAUUUUUUGCUUCUUAAAAUUCAGACUUGACCUCUGCCUGAGCUAGAAUUUUUUGAGAGUUUUAGCAAAAAUGGGUCAGUUAUUUCCAGGAAUAAUUUUAGUGAAAACUACUUUAGUCUUGACAUCAAACAUUUUUUUAAACUGGUUUUAUCAACUGUUAUCAUGCCUCCAUGCUGUGGAGAAGGAAACUGAAAUGCCUAUUAAUGGAAUAAUCCUAUGACCAGAAUGUUGUCUUUCACUGUCCCCAUAAAAAUUGCCAUUUUCACAUGCACUGUAGAAUUUCUUCAGAAUCUAUCCCUUAUUUUUCUGAAUAUCACACAUGCUUCUAGGCCUCAGUGAACCUCCGGUAUUGUAUGUAUGUGUUAUGUAAAUAACUAGAACUCUGCACAGG